rnacentral:rRNA from 1 species
AGUGAACGCUGGCGGUAGGCCUAACACAUGCAAGUCGAACGGCAGCACAGUAAGAGCUUGCUCUUACGGGUGGCGAGUGGCGGACGGGUGAGGAAUACAUCGGAAUCUACUUUUUCGUGGGGGAUAACGUAGGGAAACUUGCGCUAAUACCGCAUACGACCUACGGGUGAAAGCAGGGGAUCUUCGGACCUUGCGCGAUUGAAUGAGCCGAUGUCGGAUUAGCUAGUUGGCGGGGUAAAGGCCCACCAAGGCGACGAUCCGUAGCUGGUCUGAGAGGAUGAUCAGCCACACUGGAACUGAGACACGGUCCAGACUCCUACGGGAGGCAGCAGUGGGGAAUAUUGGACAAUGGGCGCAAGCCUGAUCCAGCCAUACCGCGUGGGUGAAGAAGGCCUUCGGGUUGUAAAGCCCUUUUGUUGGGAAAGAAAGGCAGCAGGUUAAUACCCCGCUGUUCUGACGGUACCCAAAGAAUAAGCACCGGCUAACUUCGU